AUGAGCAUGGGAUACAGGACACCUGUCAUCACCACCACCAUCAAGUUGGGAUUCGGGAAGGAGGUUAAUCAUAUAAGAAAUCCUGUGACCAGCAUGAGCUCCUGUCAGACCACACAGGGCACUGGAGUGAACAGGGCACAGGGGGCCCUGGAGUCAUGGAAUGCCUGGACACAGUAGACAAAGGUGGUUCAACUGGAUGCCUUAGGAAACAUGCUUCCAAAAACAAAGUAGCUGAAAAGAGACCAGAAUAACAGAAUAUCAGAGCCAGAGGAACAUUUGGAGGUAAUUCAGUACCUCCUUCUUUUCAACCUACAGGGGAGAUAGUGGAACAGAAGCAGGGAUGGGCCUGCCUGCUGUGCCCACAAUUCAUUGGAGAUUGUUGUGGUGAAGAAUUUCGUUUAUGAUGAGGGAGAAAUAAACCCCCGUCAGCUUAAAUUCGGGCAGGUUUAUUGAAAAGCUGAAGAAGCAUCUUGCAGAAGCAAAGCAUGGCUGAGGCUUGUGGGCUCUGUCUGGGAAAAUGAGCAGCCGACAAUGGCUGAUGCUGCCUCUAACUCUGUUGUUCCCUGUGAACAUCUCUUCUCUUCUCUUGCAUCUUCCCUCAGCCUGGCAGUCUCUGUAUACUCUUCAACACAUAAUUGAGCAAAGCUGUGCCAGCCCCAGUGCCACCCAGCACUUUAGGUCAAAUUAGAAAGGCGUGAAAUAAACUGGCCUGUUAUAAUACAGCUGUUGAAAUAACAGUUGAAAAUACAAUAUCUUGACUCCUGGUUGAGUGCUUUAUGCUGAACUUUCUUUUCUGAAGAGAGCACAGACUUUGGGAUAUCAGAAUACAUUAUGUUUCUUGGUUAUUUGGGGUUUAUGGUUUUCAUGAAGCUUUGAAAGUUUUCAUCUAGUAUGUUUUAAAUAUUUUUCUAUCCCUCUUAUCCACUCCAUUCCCUUCAGGGAUUCCAUUUAGUAGAGUGUUUAAAGUUUUCCCAUUGAUGGGCUUUUUAUUUCUUAAAUUCAUUUUUUCCUGUGUAUUUCAUUUGUGUUCAUUUCUAUUGCUAUUCCCUCUAAUUCAUUAACCUUUUCCUCUGCAAUGUUCAAUCUAGUGCAUUUAAAAAAAAAUUCAGACAGUAAAAUGUAGUUUUCACUCAUGGAACUUGAUAUUUUAAAAGUAUCUCCCACAUCUUCACUUAAUUAAAAUUGUAAUAACUGCUGUAAUGUCCUUGCCUGCUAUUUCUAACAUAUGUGUCAUUUUCAAUGAAUUAUUUCAUUCUUCAUUAAGUCUCAUGUUUUCCUGCCACUUUGCCUGUUUGAGAUUCUGGGAUUUGAUGCCACACAUUUGAUGUCAAUGCCUAAAUGUGCCCAGUGACACAACUCAGCUUCAGUGUCUGUGCACACCCAAGAUUGUGCAGCAGGAGAGGCAGAGAGAGCAGAGGUGAGUGUGCCACACAUGGGGGUAGGGAGUACUUCACUUGUGCUUGGGGCUUUCCUCUGCCUCACUGAAAAAUAUGUGUUCAUUUUCUUUUCCAUAAGACCUGCCCUACUUCAGGCCCUAUCCCUCCAAUGAUCAGGACAGUCCUCUUUCCAGUCUCAGCUCUCCAAUGGACGGACAAUGGUUCAAAACAAUUCAGGAGAGAAAGCAUUGUCUUAUCAACAAAUUGUGUUGAGAAAACUGGACAUCCAUAGGCAAAAAUAGAAAAAAAUUCACAGAUGCUGGUGAGGUUUUGGAGAAAAAGGAAUGCUUUUACACUGUUGGUGGGAGUGUAACUGUCAACCAUUGUGGCAGACAGUGUGGUGAUUCCUUAAAAAUAUAAAGGCAGAAAUACCACUUGACCCAGCAAUCCUAUUACUGGGUAUAUACCCAAAGGAAUAUAAAUUAUUCUGUUAUAAAGAUAUAUGCACACAUAUGUUCACUGCAGCACUAUUCACAAUAGCAAAGACAUGGGAUCAACCUAAAUGCCCUUUAAUGAUAGACUACAUAAAGAAAAUGUGGUGUAUAUAUACACAUGGAAUACUAUGCAGUCACAAAAAGGAAUAAGAUUAUGUCCUUUUCAGGGACAUGGAGGGAGUUGGAAGCCAUUAGCCUCAGCAAACUAACACAGGAAUAGAAAACAAAACCCUGCAUGUUCUCGCUUAUAGGUGGGAGAUGAAUGAUGAGAACACAUAGACAGAUAGGGUAGGGGUGGAGACAACACAUCCUUGGCCCUUUCGGGGGGUGGGAAGUGGGGAGAGGGAGAGCAUCAGGAAGAGUAGCUAAUGGAUGCUGGGCUUAAUACCUAGGUGAUGGGAUGAUCUGUGCAGCAAAGCACCAUGGCACACAUUUACCUAUGUAGCAAACCUACACAUCCUGCACAUGCACCCCUGAACUUAAAAUAAAAGUGGAAGUAAAAAACAACUAACAAAGAAAGAAAAAAAAUCCACUUAAACAUCCAUACUUGCACAAAAACUAACUCAAAAUUGAUUAUACAACUAAAUGUAAACUGCAAAUCUAGAAAACUUACAGUAGAAAACGUAAGAGAAAAUUUUCAUGAUGUAGGCACGAAGUAUUCUUAGUUAUCGUAUCAACACAAACUAUUAAAGAAAACAUUGAUAUAUUCAACUUCAUAAAAAUUAAAAAUCCUUGGUCAGCACAAGACAUCGAUAAUAGAAUAAAACAUAUGCUACAAAUUGGGAGAAAAAUAUGAAAAUCCCACAUAUGAUGAAGGACCUGUAUAAUGGUUAAUUGUGUGUGUCACUGUGACCAAGCCCCAGUGUGCCAGGACAUUUGUUCCAACAUUAUUCUGGGUGUGUGCUGGAGGGUGUUUCUGGAUGACAUUAACACUGGAAUAGGCAGACUAAGUGAAGCAGACUGUCGUCCCUAAUGUGGGUGGGCCUCAUCCAAUCAACCAAAGGUCAGAGGAGAAGGAAAGGGCCUAAUAAGAAGGAAAUGCUUUCCUGGGUAUCCAGCUUUCCAUCUUGGGAAUUGCAGCCUCCAUAAUCAUAUGUCCAAAUUUAUAUGUAUACACACACACACACACACACACAUACAAGUACAUGCAUUAUACAUAUAUAUAUAUAUAUAUAUAUAUAUGUAUACACACAUUUCAUAAGUAGGAAGGAUUGUAUUUUUAAAAGUUCAGUUAUUCAAUGAUAGUUGCUGAGCUAGCCAAUGAAUAUGAGGGAGUUCUAUUAUAUGAUUCUGUCUCCUUUUUUAUACUAUUGAAAUUCCGCAUUUGAAGAAGUAGGAUAGGAUAACAGCUGAUUUUCUUAACAUACACUUCAAAGCCCUAGGAAUUAGCAGGGAGUCAAAAAUACCACCCAGAACCCUGCCCCUAAACACCAGGACUAAACAACCCUGUAGCCCUCAGGUGAUUUUCUUUAGCAGGGUCUGGGAGCCACACAACUGCAGAGGGAGCAGGAAACACUACUCGAAUAGAGGCCAGGACAGCAGGGAGGGCCUGUUCAUGACAGAACACAGGUAAAACUAUCCUCAGAAAGUGAGUGUGAAGAAAGACAGAUCAUGCCUGAGACCUGGUAGUAAAAAAUAAUAAGCAAAGAAAGAAACAAAAGCUACCAAAACAUCCAUACUUGCACUAAAACUAACUCAAAAUUGAUUAUAGAACUAAUCAAUCCAUACUUACACUGGCUACUGGGGAAUUGAAAGGAAGGGGCUUCACGGUGCAGAGGACCAGAGGUGGCAAGCUCGGAAACCCAGAAUUGCUGGGAGAUGGGGAGGUGUGGACAAAGGAAGCAUCCUCUGGAGACUUGUGGUGAAGAGAAUGAAUGAAGUAACUGGCAGAAAUUAGAGGUCCUGGUAGAAUGAAACAGAAUCCCAGAAUGAGAACACACACCAUCCCUGUCCCCUAAAGCAAGACAUUUUCUAAAAAC
rnacentral:lncRNA from 1 species